GUCUACGGCCAUACCAUGCAGAAUGCACCCAAUCUCACCUGAUCUUGAGAGCUAAGGAGGGUUAGGCCUGGUUAGUACCUGGAUGGGAGACA
rnacentral:rRNA from 1 species